rnacentral:other from 1 species
UACAAGCUACAUUGUACGUAAUCAUAAUAAAGUUUAACCUUUGAGCUGAAAUAGGGAGUUUAACAUUGAAACUGGAAUGGCAGGUCUUCGUCCAUGGCGACAUGAAGGACAUACAGGAACGUUUCUGCAAACACCCACUUUGAGGAGUGGUGGUUUUAAACUUUCUUAGGGUAUUACGGCAAUUGUGGCUUUUCC